ensembl:lncRNA HDAC2-AS2 HDAC2 and HS3ST5 antisense RNA 2
UCCCUUGGUCCUGCUCCAUGCUUUGGUCCUGCACUUAAAUUUUACAAGCAUACUCUCUUUCUCUUAAGAAUGAUUUUCAAUGCCAUUUAGAGGAAAUCUUGGGAUCAACUUGGGAAAAGACGGAGGCUCCUGGCUCUGAUCUUUGGGGACUUCAGAUUUUCUGGAUCAAGGAGAAAAAUGAGCCAAAUAUGGAGGAUCCCAUCAGCUGCAGCAAAGCUACUGGCCAUGAAGGGAAGUGAGAGAAGCAAAGAGAAGAGUGAAGCAGAAUGGGAAGGAAAAUGAUGAUUCUAUGGGCACCAAUCAUGUGAGUCUUCUUGAGGCUUUACCAAGGAAACAGGCAGUUUUAGAGUUGGCCUUAAGGAUGUUCUCUGGUGUCAUCAAAGAAAUGGAAAUGCAAAGCAGAGACAUGUGCAUUUAGAUAUGUGUAAGACUGUAGACUAUUUUUAGUGGAAAAUGGCUGCUGAGUGUGUGGAAAGAGUAUAAAAGAUUUCAGUGGGAAGAUUCUACAAUCAUUUGAGAUUCUCCAUUGCUGGAAAAUUCUCAAAUUAGGCUUAUGAAGGCAAUUUGAUUUAGCAAACAGCUCUCUGGACCAAGCAAAUCUUCUCAGCAGGGAUGGAAUUUGAACUGCACUUGUCCCUGGUUCUCACCUUCCCUGAGAAGCAGUGCAUCUGCAGUGUCCCAGGUGAUGCCCCCCACAGGCCUUGAAGCUUGUCUUCCAGAAGAGCCUUCAUUUCAGGGGCAGCAUUCCAGGAAGCACGCCCAUGAAACACUCAUGAGGAGGAACUGGGCUGCCAAUUAUGACUUGUCACUGCUCCAUCAACAUAAAAGCUCGGCAGCACUCAGAUGGCUCUUGAAAAUCUUUGAGAUAUAAUCUGAAAGGAGGUCCCAGUUUCUGCCCCGGGCUGUUUGCAUCAUCAACCUGCAAAAUUCCAAUCUUGGAACUUGCUGAGAUUUUCAUUCUGAGACUCUCUGCCCUGGGCCUUGAGGAUAGCCAGAAGAAUACUAUAUUUCUUCUGCCUCUCUUUCUCUUUCUAUCUAAAGAGGUCAGGAUUAUAUAUCCACUUUGCUGAAUAUAGAAUCAAACCCAAUUGCCAUCAGCAAGUGCUGUAUAUCACCUACCACACCUGGGACCAGGCAUCAACAAGACCUUGACAGGGCCAGAAGCCUCAAGCCCUCAUUGCCAAGCCCAUUAAAAUCAGGAACUCAAUCUCAUUAAGGAAGGAGUGCAAUGGAUAUAGCCAGACAGGAGGAUUUCCACUUCAGUAUUAUCCUGAAUAGUGAACAACCAUCUCUGCUUUUCUCAGGGAGAAAGAUGUGGUAACAGUCACAAUGAUAGUAGACGAUGGUGACUGUUUAAUUUGUCAUGGCUAACAUAUAUGGUUAGCAAAUUGAGUUUCCUUUUAGGUAUAGUCUGAAUUGAACUGAAGUUCAUUAUAAUUCCCCUAAGUUGAUCUGUGAGGGCAUUUUAGCCUUCUUGGUAAAAUUAAAUAAUAUCAGUCAAAAAGGCUGUUAAACCAAUUCUUACACUUGAAAGCUUCCAGUUAUUCUAAUAAUUUGGAAUCUGUGUCUCCCCCUCUGUGGCAAUGAGGCUGUUGCUUGCUUUUCCCAAGAGACUGUAUUGCAUCUUUCUUGUUUUCUGAGAUGAGAAACAACCUCAAGGUCAUGCCCAGUGAUAUGGUUUGGCUCUGUGCCCCCACCCAAAUCUCAUCCCGAAUUGUAAUCCCCACAUGUCGGAGGAGGGGCUUGGUGGGAGGUGACUGGAUUAUGGGGGUGUAUUUACCCCUUGUUUUCAUGAUAGUGAGUUCUCAUGAGAUUUGAUGGUUUAAAACUGUGUGGCACCGCCCCCUGCAAGCUCCCUCUCUCUCCUGCCACCAAGUAAGACGUGCCUUGCUUCUUCUUUGCCUUCUGCCAUGAUUGUAAGUUUUCUGAGGCUUCCCCAGCCAUGCAGAACUGUGUGUCAAUUAAACCUUUUUUCUUUAUAAAUUA